rnacentral:rRNA from 1 species
UACAGAGGUGGCAAGCGUUGUUCGGAAUUACUGGGCGUAAAGGGCGCGUAGGCGGCCUUCUAAGUCAGACGUGAAAUCCCCAGGCUUAACUUGGGAACUGCGUCUGAUACUGGGAGGCUUGAAUGCGGGAGAGGGAUGUGGAAUUCCAGGUGUAGCGGUGAAAUGCGUAGAGAUCCGGAGGAACCCCAGAGGCGAAGGCGGCGCCCUGGCUCGCAACUGACGCUCAGACACGACAGCAUGGGGAGCGAACGGG